CAAUAGCGUAUAUUAAAGUUGUUGCAGUUAAAAAGCUCGUAGUUGGAUUUGUGGCGUACGGUGGGUUCCGGGCACUUGUUGUCUGAGUAACUUGCUGUUGCCAUCCUUGGGUGGAACCUGUGUGGCAUUAGGUUGUCGUGCAGGGGAUGCCCAUCAUUUACUGUGAAAAAAUUAGAGUGUUCAAAGCAGGCUUAUGCCGUUGAAUAUAAUAGCAUGGAAUAAUGAGAUAGGACUUUUUUGCUAUUUUGUUGGUUUGCGCAAAGAGGUAAUGAUUAAUAGGGACAGUUGGGGGUAUUCGUAUUCCAUUGUCAGAGGUGAAAUUCUUGGAUUUUUGGAAGACGAACUACUGCGAAAGCAUUUACCAAGGAUGUUUUCAUUAA
rnacentral:rRNA from 1 species